GACCACACACUCUUCUUAUUUAAUUUUUUUUCUUAGUUUCUCUCCAAUCAAAUUUGUACAGCUAGCAUCAAAUUGCUUGCUUUGUGUAAAAAGCCAUAGGCUGUCAGUUCGGUUCGUGUGUCAAGUUGAAGAUGUCACCAUUAAGUCUUGGUGCAGAUUGCAAAGUUCCCAUGCGUCCACAUCCACAUAUUUGACAUAAAUUAAUGGUAAUGAUGUGUGUGCCCUUUCCACAUCCACAUAUUUAACAACUUUAUUUCUCUUUAUAUUCAACAUAAAUUAAUAUGAUCUCUAAAAAAUAUUAUUAUGAACCACCAUAUUGACAUCAGAAUUUUAUGUUUAUUAUGAACCAUCCAACCAAAUUUUAUGUUUAUUUUUGGUUGUCAGGGAAAGUGAAGGCACCU
rnacentral:lncRNA from 1 species